rnacentral:rRNA from 1 species
GACGAACGCUGGCGGCGUGCCUAACACAUGCAAGUCGAGCGAAUGAAGUUCCUUCGGGAAUGGAUUUAGCGGCGGACGGGUGAGUAACACGUGGGCAACCUGCCUCAUAGAGGGGAAUAGCCUUCCGAGAGGGAGAUUAAUACCGCAUAAGAUUGUAGUAUCGCAUGAUACAGCAAUUAAAGGAGCAAUCCGCUAUGAGAUGGGCCCGCGGCGCAUUAGCUAGUUGGUGAGGUAACGGCUCACCAAGGCGACGAUGCGUAGCCGACCUGAGAGGGUGAUCGGCCACAUUGGGACUGAGACACGGCCCAGACUCCUACGGGAGGCAGCAGUGGGGAAUAUUGCACAAUGGGGGAAACCCUGAUGCAGCAACGCCGCGUGAGUGAUGACGGCCUUCGGGUUGUAAAGCUCUGUCUUCAGGGACGAUAAUGACGGUACCUGAGGAGGAAGCCACGGCUAACUACGUG